CUACGGGACGCACCAGUUAAGGAUCUUUUGCAAUGCGCGCAAGCGUGACAAAGCGAGCCAGAGUGAUUUUUCAUAAUGAAAUAUCUUUUGCCAAAUGUAAAAAGUUUGGCGAAUAAGGACUGGGAAAGGCCGGUGCCAGCCGCCGCGGUAAUACCGGCAGUUCGAGUCGCAGCCACAUUUAUUUGGUCUAAAACAUCUGUAGCUUGUUUUGUAAGUCUUCUGUGAAAUCUCAUAUCUUAAGUAUGAGGCGGGCAGGAGAUACUGCAUUGCUAGAGACCGGAAGACGUAAGGAGAAUGUAUGGGGUAUCGGUAAAAUGAGUUGAUCCUAUGCAGACUAACGAUAGCGAAGGCACCUUACGAGUACGGAUCUGACAGUGAGAGAUGAAGGCUAGGGUCGCGAAAGGGAUUAGAUACCCCCGUAGUC
rnacentral:rRNA from 1 species